GUUUCUUCUUUCCACAGACUCUGCCACCAUACUGCCACUGGCUGGAUAAAUCACACAGUGAUUUCUCUUUUCGACAAAUAUAGAUUCACCAGUUACUGGAUUUUCUUUCACCAUAUCUUCAGCAGGUGACCAUGCCAUUGCUUUUCAAGCUUAUACCUGCUGUAAUUCACCUUGGUGUGCUGCUUAGGUGGUUCCCACCUGAUAGUCUUAGUGAGGUAAUUACCUUGAUGGUCAUGCCACAAGGACAGAGAUUCGCCAAUAGCACUAAUUUAGGCUCAUGGUUUGACUGGUUUUCACUUGAAGAUUCGCCAUUAGCACUAGUUUAGGCUCAUGGUUUGACUGGUUUUCACUUGUUAUAUGUUCACAUGGUCUUUCUUCCCUUAUCAAUAACGAGUUUGUGUAUGUCAGAAUCAUUGAAAGUAUAUUGUUACGAUUAUUUUU